rnacentral:rRNA from 1 species
UACGGAGGGUGCAAACGUUGCUCGGAAUUAUUGGGCGUAAAGCGCACGUAGGCGGCCGAGUAAGUCGGGUGUGAAAGCCCUGGGCUCAACCCAGGAAGUGCACUCGAAACUGCUCGGCUUGAGUAUGGAAGAGGGUUGCGGAAUUCCCGGUGUAGAGGUGAAAUUCGUAGAUAUCGGGAGGAACACCAGUGGCGAAGGCGGCAACCUGGGCCAAUACUGACGCUGAGGUGCGAAAGCGUGGGGAGCAAACAGG